GAUAAAGAAAGUAAGCAAGGGCAGACGGUGGAUGCCUUGGCUCUCGGAGGCGACGAAGGACGUGAUAAG
rnacentral:rRNA from 2 species